rnacentral:lncRNA from 1 species
AUUAGCUUGGUUUUUUAAAAAAGCAAUGUUCUUGUUUUAUCUUUCAGCCCCAGAACUUGCCAGUCAAGAUGAAAAACUUCUUCUAAUGGAAUCCAGCUUGAAAGCUACUCAAGAGCAGCUAACUGAGCAAAUAGCAGAAACAGUUCGCCAAGAACAGAACAGUAGAAAACCCCAGGCAGAGCUGAAGACAGUGACAGAAGGGAUUAUUGCUUCUGAAGAAGAAAAAAAAUGAUUACAAAAUCACCUAUUUUACCGUCUUUUACAACUUCGUUGUAGGAGGUGUGAAAGAGGAGGGAAAUUGUGUUGUUUGAUGGAGAGACUCAAAUUAACAAAGAACUGUGGAAUAUUUCUAGCCAAAAGCCACUGGGGAACUGAUUCCUGCCAACAACCACUGAACUUCGAAGUAGAUCCAUCAGCAACUGGACCCUCAGAUGCGACCCAUGUAUGACACCUUGAUUGGGAUCCUGUGAGAGACCCUCAGGCAGAGCACCUAGUUAAGUCAAACUCAGAUCGCUGACUCCCAGAAACUGUAAGCACUCUCCUGCAUACCUGUCACCAAACCUCCAGGUCAAUCUCACAUUUACUCUUGAAGAAAUGGAGUCGAAGAUGAAAUAGAAAAUAAUUAGAUAAUGAAAUGCUAAUAUAGGAAUUGAAUGUCAGCUGCAGUGCUCAGAAGCAUAAGAUUGUGAUAAAUGUUUUGGAGGAAAAUAGAAAGAAGGCUGUGGUUUGAAACGUCUCAACAAACUUCCAAUCAUGCAAAACUUGAGGGAACGAGGAACAGCAAAGCUUGGCACUUUGGAAGCUUGAUAACAUCACAGCAUGGAAGAAAAGUGGAAGGAAGAACCUGUAUUCUGAUGGAUCAGCUGGUGCCACCCAGAUCAGUAAACUGGCUCAUCUGUUCCUGUGGCCGCCUCCCAGGAACUGACUCAGGGCAAGAGGACAGCUUCAAAUCCCUGUGAUUCCAUCCCUAACUCAACCAAUCAGCAUCCCCUAGUCCCUUACCUGCCAAGCUAUCUUUAAAAAAACCAUAGCACCUGAAUUUUUAAGGAAACUAAUUUGAGGCAGAUCUUAAUAUAAAUCUGGUAUCCUGUGUAGCUGGCUUUGCAUCUAU